UAGCAGAUAUAUUUACAAAAGCUUUGAAUGAAGACCAAUUUGAAUUCAUUAGAAGGGAAUUAGGUAUGUUAAAUUGUCCCUAAGAAUAAACUUGUUUGAAUGGAUUUUCCGUAAAGUUUUUCAUUCUCUCUCCGUUCCUCGGUGACUUGUUAAAUUAUCUUAUCCUAUCUUGAGUCAAACACCGCUUCCAUCUGAUCAAGAUUAAUGAUUUUAUGAUAAUUUGAAUCUCGA
rnacentral:lncRNA from 1 species